AUAUAUAUUUUCUACCGUCCCUAUCCUAAUAAUGGUCCAACUAUCCUUUACGGGUAUGCCACUUUUCUCUUUAUGUUUUUUCAUGUUUAAGUUUACCUUUAUUUGUUAAGAAGAAUGUUAAUAAGUACUGAUUGAGUCUUAAUUCGAUUGGUAUGUAUAUUGUUGUCAAUGCAGGAGGACGUGAGUUUGAGUGUGCUGAUGCGCGUUAUCCUCCAAUUUAUGGGUUGAGGAGAGGCUAUGGAUAGUUUUAGACAUUAUGUGCCCUUUUAAGGGAUGAAUGUGUGUCAUUGGUUUAAACUAUCAUGUUUCAUAUUUGUUAUACCUCCUACAAGAGAGGACACACGACAAGUUGAAAGACCACCGAAGGGAUGAUCUCCGCUGCUAUAAUUUCGGAAGGUCGUUGGAACCCUCACCUCCCAUUCCUUUAGCCUCCCAAACUUUUGGAUAAAAACGUGACCUUCUUGGUCGCCAAACCUCACAUGGGUUCAGCUACUCUGUACCAUCAAAUCAGAAUGAAUGACAAGAUUUGUCCUAUUAUAAACAUCGCAGUCCCAUCGAAGACAUCUGCCUCAUGCAUUCCGCAAUGAUGGUUAGAUGGCUAGUUCAACAUGCUAACACCAUCUUACACGGGAUCCCCGCCUAUAAAUACCUCCAAGAACGAUGGAGAAGGGAUCGAUUCUCAAGUAUACAAAGCCUAUACUCUAUCAACUUACUUUGAGUACUUAGUCCUCGCGUUCUCUCCACCUUCACUCCUUAUAACCUCCAGCUCUCUGCCUCGACUGGAUGAACCGGCCACCGUAACCACUACCUCGUCUUCCUCCUAGUUCUUUCCUCGUUGUAUCACUGAAUCAACAAUAUUCAUUUAGCCAACUGUAG
rnacentral:lncRNA from 1 species